AACGAACGUUGGCGGCGUGGAUGAGGCAUGCAAGUCGAACGCGAAAGCCGCAAGGCGAGUAAAGUGGCGGACGGGCGAGUAAUACGUAAUCAAGCUACCUGCGAGACGGGGAUAACUUCGGGAAACCGAAGCUAAGACCCGAUGGUCUUCUAGGAACGCAUGUUCCAUGAAGUAAAUGGGCGGGAUCCUCCGGGAUCGCCUGCUCGCAGAGGUGAUUGCGGCCCAUCAGCUAGUUGGUAGGGUAAUGGCCUACCAAGGCAACGACGGGUAGCCGGCCUUAGAGGGUGGUCGGCCGCACUGGGACUGAGACACUGCCCAGACUCCUACGGGAGGCUGCAGUCGAGAAUCUUCCGCAAUGGGCGAAAGCCUGACGGAGCGACGCCGCGUGGAGGAUGAAGGCC
rnacentral:rRNA from 1 species